UCUCCAGCCGAGGAUGCGCCGUGCGACG
rnacentral:sRNA from 1 species